AAUAUUGGACAAUGGGGUCAACCCUGAUCCAGCCAUGCCGCGUGUGUUAAGAAGGUCUUCGGAUUGUAAAGCACUUUAAGUUGGGAGGUAGGGCUUUAGGUUAAUACCCUGAAGUUUUGACGUUACCAACAGAAUAAGCACCGGCUAACUCUGUGUCAGCAGCUGCGGUCAUACAGAGGGUGCAAGCGUUAAUCGGAAUUACUGGGCGUAAAGCGGGCGUAGGUGGUUCAGUAAGAUGGGUGUGAAAUCCCCGGGGUUAACCUGGGAACUGCUUUCAUAACUGCUGAGCUAGAGUACGGUAGAGGGUAGUGGAAUUUCCUGUGUAGCGGUGAAAUGCGUAGAUAUAGGAAGGAACACCAGUGGCGAAGGCGACUACCUGGACUGAUACUGACACUGAGGUGCGAAAGCGUGGGGAGCAAACA
rnacentral:rRNA from 1 species